rnacentral:misc_RNA from 1 species
GAUGAAGAACGUAGCGAAACGCGAUAGUUAAUGUGAAUUGCAGAAUUCAGUGAAUCAUCGAGUCUUUGAACGCACAUUGCGCCCCCUGGUAUUCCGGGGGGCAUGCCUGUCCGAGCGUCAUUGCUGCCCUCAAGCCCGGCUUGUGUGUUGGGCCUUGCUCCCCCGGGGGCAGGCCCGAAAGGCAGUGGCGGCACCGCGUCCGAUCCUCGAGCGUAUGGGGCUUUGUCACCCGCUCUGUAGGCCCGGCCGGCGCUUGCCGACCCCAAUCAAUCUUUUUUCAGGUUGACCUCGGAUCAGGUAGGGAUACCCGCUGAACUUAAGCAUAUCAAUAAGCGGAGGA